AUUUUUUAGGUAGACGUUUACUUACGGCUGAAAUUAAAAACCAAUCUAUCUGUAAUGUGUUGAUAAGUUGCUCAGCAACGUUGUUU